rnacentral:rRNA from 1 species
AUUGAACGCUGGCGGCAUGCCUUACACAUGCAAGUCGAACGGCAGCACGGGUGCUUGCACCUGGUGGCGAGUGGCGAACGGGUGAGUAAUACAUCGGAACGUACCUUAUCGUGGGGGAUAACGCAGCGAAAGCUGUGCUAAUACCGCAUACGCCCUGAGGGGGAAAGCGGGGGAUCGCAAGACCUCGCGCGAUUAGAGCGGCCGAUGCCUGAUUAGCUUGUUGGUGGGGUAAAAGCCCACCAAGGCGACGAUCAGUAGCUAGUCUGAGAGGACGAUCAGCCACACUGGGACUGAGACACGGCCCAGACUCCUACGGGAGGCAGCAGUGGGGAAUUUUGGACAAUGGGGGCAACCCUGAUCCAGCGAUGCCGCGUGAGUGAAGAAGGCCUUCGGGUUGUAAAGCUCAUUUGUCAGGGAAGAAACACCGGCUCUAACACAGUCCGGGAAUGACGGUACCUGAAGAAUAAGCACCGGCUAACUACGUGCCAGCCGCCGCAGUAAGAC